rnacentral:rRNA from 1 species
CACCCAUAAGAGGUCCCGCCUGCCCUGUGACUCUGUUCAACGGCCGCGGUAUUCUAACCGUGCGAAGGUAGCGUAAUCACUUGUUUUUUAAAUAAAGACCAGUAUGAAAGGCACAACGAGGGCUAAACUGUCUCCUCUUUUUAAUCAGUAAACUUAUUCUCCCCGUGAAGAAACGGGGAUACCCCCAUAAGACGAGAAGACCCUAUGGAGCUUUAAACAUCAUAACACCUGCCACCUAGUAUAAAUAUCCAGAUUUUUUCCCAUCUCGCAUAAUGAUUAUAAGUUUUUGGUUGGGGUGACCGCGGAGAAAAAUCUAUCCUCCACAAUGAAAGGGGGCUUCCCCUAAACAAUAAAUCACAAUUUUAUUUAUCAACAAAUUGACAUCCAUUGACCCAAUAAAUUGACCAACGAACCAAGUUACCCUAGGGAUAACAGCGCAAUCCACUUCAAGAGCCCCUAUCGACAAGU